CUUCACCGAACCGAGCCACAGCGGACGUCCUUCCACCCGGUCCUGGCCGUACGUUGCCAGCAGCGCCUGGGCCUC
rnacentral:antisense_RNA from 1 species